rnacentral:rRNA from 1 species
UGGAAGAAUCUGGAGACAGGUGCUGCAUGGCUGUCGUCAGCUCGUGUCGUGAGAUGUUGGGUUUAAGUCCCGCAACGAGCGCAACCCUUGCCUUUAGUUGCCAGCAGUUCGGCUGGCACUCUAAAGGGACUGCCGGUGUUAAACCGGAGGAAGGUGGGGAUGACGUCAAGUCCUCAUGGCCUUUAUGACCAGGGCUACACACGUACUACAAUGGCCGAUACAAAGGGCAGCGACACUGCGAGGUGAAGCCAAUCCCGUAAAAUCGGUCUCAGUCCGGAUUGGAGUCUGCAACUCGACUCCAUGAAGUUGGAAUCGCUAGUAAUCGUGGAUCAGCAUGCCACGGUGAAUACGUUCCCGGGCCUU